rnacentral:rRNA from 1 species
UACGAGGGGUGCAAGCGUUGUUCGGAAUCACUGGGCGUAAAGGGAGCGUAGGCGGAAGUUCAAGCGGAUUGUACAAUCCCGGGGCCCAACCCCGGACCUGCAGUCCGAACUGGACUUCUUGGAUAGUUCAGGGGCAGGCGGAAUUCCUGGUGUAGCGGUGGAAUGCGUAGAGAUCAGGAAGAACACCGAUGGCGAAGGCAGCCUGCUGGGGACUCAUCGACGCUGAGGCUCGAAAGCGCGGGUAG